AUGAGAUAUGCCAAUUGAAGAGCAUUUAAUAGAAUUGGUAUCAUAGAAGUGAUAAGAUUACCAUUUGAAAAUCAGUCUUUUAAAGAAAGAUUGACUAUGACAAUGAGGUAUAUUGGUACUUUAUUAUUUUGUUUUAGAUAUGAUCAAACAUACUUGGAGAUUAGGUCAGCAUUGUUUAUGAAAGACUAAUUUCUCUUUCGUUUAUCUUAUACUUUGUAAUAGAUUCUAUCCAUUAUGUAUUUGUUGUUUGAAUUACCUCUGUUUAGACAGAUUUAUGAUGUUCACCAGGUGUUUUCAAGAAAUAUUGCUGGAUAAAACUGGCAGUUUCUUUCAGCAAGAAUAGUUACUCAACCAAGCAAGGGAGGAGAGUUAGUCAAGGAGCCAAUUUGUAAGGUAUUCUUAAAGAAAAUUAAAACUUAAAUAAAUCAACAAUGGUCUCUUCAAAACCCCUUUGCUAUCAGCCUUCAACAUUCUUUGGUUUCUAAAACAUUCAUUGGCUUUAAUGUACUAAUCAAAACAGAAUUUUGUCCAAUAGAUUCACCAGUUUUCUCACAUUGUCUCUCUAUAAUUACCCCCUUUUUGUCUCUGUCUCUGUCUCUCUCAUGCUUUUGUUAGGGUAAUGUUUGAAAGAACAUUAAAUGUCUUUGUGUGUGGUUUAUCUUUAGAAUGAAUAGAUUAUGACUUUGGGAAUUUACGUUUUGACUUAAGUGGUUUAUAAAUAAAGGGGUCUUGAAGCUUAUUUUAUCAUAAUUUACCACAAAUCAAAUUUUAUCUAGAAUAUAAAAAAAUCAAUUGAUAUUGUAUAACCUAUUAUCUAUACCUUUAAAAGAAAGGUUUUUCAAAGGAUUUUUUUUGCCCUAUUUGAAGCUUCUCAAUGGGUAUCACUAGGCCUUGAAUACGUUGUGUUCUGUUAGUCUAUCCGCUCUUUUUUCUCUGCCCAUCUCCUUCUCCAAAACCACAUUAUAACCUCCAUUUUAUUUGGUAUGUGAUUUUACUAAUAAGCUUUGGCUUUGGGAUUUUUGUUUCAUUUGCCAAGUUCUAUAAAAUGAGCAAUGUGAGUUUGAAGGUUCUGUUUUGGUUAUCUUUGUGUUUGUUCUCUAUUUGUUUGUUUAAAUUUCUCAGUGAACAAAAUUUGGUCUAUGGAUCCAAUUUGUUAAAAAGAUUUCUUCUUCAAAAUGUUAUUUUUCUGCACUAUUCUUCUACAAAGAAUCUGCACUACUACACAUCUAAAAUCUUCGCUACAUUGUUUCACAAAAUCUACAUUGCACUGAUUCAUAAAAAGUCUGCACUGCACUGCACUAUUUCAUUAAAUCUACUCUGUUUUGAAUAACUAUUUGCACUUUUUUAAAAUAACUUUUGUCUUGGUUAUCUUUGUGUUUUUUCUGUGUGUUUGUUUAAAUUUUUCAGUGAAUACGUAGAACAAAUAUAGGUUCUAAUAAAUAAAAUCUAUAAACAUUUCCCAAAACCAUUCUUUGUUCUUAAAGGGAAUAAAUAUGACAAAGAAAUUGGACCUGAAUAAAACAGGACACGUAAUUUUUUAAAAUCAAUUAAAUUUCUUAAUCAAUUUUGACGCUGCAUUACAUGUCACUAAAACUAUCAAAGUUCAUAUUUUAAUGCAUAACUUAGUGGGAGAUUAGGAGAAAGAGAAACAAUAAAAUUUGAUAAAACAAAACCUGUAGUUGUCUUAAGACGUAUAUCGGUAAUUGAAAAAUAGCCAUCCUCAUUUGCUUUGCUCCAAGAUUCGUAGUCUUAAUAAUUGGGAAUUGACAUGCAAAAGUUGUUUAUAAGGCAAAUAGUGUUAUGGUUAGGGGUGAAAGUUUUUAAUUUGAAUACUUUGUCUUGCCUUUUGGAUCCUUUGGGCAUAUUUUGAUAUGAUUAGGGAAGGUGGCUAUGUAGAAUCCAUUGUGCCAUUUUGAAUACUUAAUAUUUACAUUUUCUUACUCUAUGCAAAUUGAGUGCACUUGAUUUAUGUGAGGAACUGAGGGCAACUAAGCCAAAUCACGAGAAAGAGAUUUUGUGGCAUAUGUGAAGUUUGCCUUGGAUCUGACCAAUGCACCAUUAAAAAAUUAUGCAACUGUUUUGAAAAAAAGAAGAAGGUAAGUUUGUUUCUUUAAGAUGUUUCCUUGCUGUUCUAUCUUUUAGAGUUUAGGUAGUUAUUGAAGAGAGAUACAGCUUGAUUAUUACCAUUUAAUUGUGUUUUUUUUUUUUUUUGGGUUAUGUUGUGUGGAUUGCAAGUAGUCAAAACUUUAAUUUGAAGGAAAAUUAUUGGCUAGGGUGCCUCAGCGUUAUUUUGGACCAUGUGAUGCUUUUUUAACCAUAGUGAGGAAUGUCUAUUUACCCACUAUAAUAUUGUGCCCUUUUUUUCCUUCAGUAUUUCAAUGCAUUAUUUCUAAUACCUUUCAAAAAGUAGAAAGGUUUAGGAUCUCUCUGGAUUAAUCUCUAAACCUUUAAUUUUUGUUAGGACCACACAUGCAUAAUCUGCAGAAAGAAAUAACUAUAAGUUUACAACUUAAAAGGAAAUUAGAGGAUUUUUUUUAUAUAAAUGUGACCCUUAAGAUGACUAGAGAGGACUGCAUAAUCUAUGCAUGGUUUCUUUGGUGUAUUAAUGGAGAUUCAUGCUUAGAUUAUGUACUUUUAAUGAUACUAUUGUCCAAGGGAUUAAUGCUUACCAUAAAAAUAAUUAUUUAUUUAUUUUUUUUUCCGAUUUAGAGAUUUUUAUUAGACGUGUUGAAAGGAAAAAGAAAUGAUAAGCUAUCUAACAUUGAUUCAUGUGAUUUAGAUUUGAGAUGGUAGAACUAAUUUCGCAUCUGUAUGUGUUCUUCAUUUGGAAUCAAUUUAACAUAUUUUUUUAAAAAGUUCUGAUAUGUCUAGGUAUGCAAAAAGAUCAUCAAUGGCUUGGUUGCUCACAACAUUAGACCCAUAAACUUUUAAGGGGGUUAAACUAUUUGACUUUUGGUUCAUUUUAAGGUUAUAAAUGUUAUUUUGAGCUCUGUACCUAAAUUUUUAUGAUGUUAUGAAGAAAACUAUUUGUUUUUCCACUUUUGUAAGUUUAAUUUUUUCCCGCU